GUGAAUCAUCGAAUUUUUGAACGCAAAUUGCACUCUCCUCGGAGAGUAUGCCUGUUUGAGGCUCAGCCUAUAAAAAAUCUACAGCGUUGCUUUUUCGCGGUGACGUUCGUCGGAAAUUUGGUCAUCUUAAAUCCUUUUGGUUUUAAGCGACUUAAAAAUUUCUUUUUGUUUCCAUGAACGUUUCUAAGAUUUAUGUCUUUACACGUUUAAGGUAUCGAUUUUGAUUAGACGUUACCAUCAUAUCGGAUCGCGUCCAUAAUCUUUCAGUAACUGACCUCAUACAGGUAAGAGGACCCG
rnacentral:misc_RNA from 1 species